UACGUAGGGGGCGAGCGUUGUCCGGAUUUAUUGGGCGUAAAGAGCUCGUAGGCGGUUGCGGAAGUCGGAUGUGAAAUACCGGGGCUCAACUCCGGGGCGCCAUUCAAUACUCCGCUGACUUGAGUCCGGUAGGGGAAGGUGGAAUUCCUGGUGUAGCGGUGAAAUGCACAGAUAUCAGGAGGAACACCGGUGGCGAAGGCGGCCUUCUGGGCCGGUACUGGACGCUGAGGAGCGAAAGCUAGGGGAGCGAACAGGA
rnacentral:rRNA from 1 species